AGGACGAACGCUGGCGGCGUGCUUAAGGCAUGCAAGUCGAGCGCUCUGGGUUUUGGCCCAGGGAGCGGCGGACGGGUGCGUAACACGUGGGUAAUCUGCCCACCGGAGGGGGACACCCUCUCGAAAGGGAGGCGAAUCCCGCGUACGCCCACAGGGGGAUCUCUGUGGGGAAAGGGGCAACCCGCCGGUGGAGGAGCCUGCGGCCCAUUAGCUAGUUGGUGAGGUAAUGGCCCACCAAGGCGACGAUGGGUAGCCGGCCUGAGAGGGCGAACGGCCACACUGGGACUGAGAUACGGCCCAGACUCCUACGGGCGGCAGC
rnacentral:rRNA from 1 species